GGAUCUGCCAUCCCAUUGAUCACCAGAUUUAAUUCAGAUGAUCUGAUUGGCUCCCACACUGCUUCAUGUGAGUCCUUCCCAAAGUUGCGUGCUUGGUGGAAGAGAAUGACCAUCUCAGAUAGAAGGAAUGUACUGUUCUUUGGGCUAGAAAUGUAACAAUGAAUUCAAAAUAACAAAUAAAUAAAUGAGGAUGGUUGGCCAGCCUCUUUCACUAG